CAGAUUAAAUUUAAAGUUUAAAAUUUUCAUUUACACUGGAGUUAUUUAUCGUGCGAUUCGAUAUAAUCUGA
rnacentral:tRNA from 1 species